GAUGAACGCUGGCGGCGUGCCUAAUACAUGCAAGUCGAGCGAACGGACGAGAAGCUUGCUUCUCUGAUGUUAGCGGCGGACGGGUGAGUAACACGUGGAUAACCUACCUAUAAGACUGGGAUAACUUCGGGAAACCGGUGCUAAUACCGGAUAAUAUUUUGAACAGCAUGGUUCAAAAGUGAAAGACGGUCUUGCUGUCACUUAUAGAUGGAUCCGCGCUGGAUUAGCUAGUUGGUAAGGUAACGGCUUACCAAGGCAACGAUGCAUAGCCGACCUGAGAGGGUGAUCAGCCACACUGGAACUGAGACACGGUCCAGACUCCUACGGGAGGCAGCAGUAGGGAAUCUUCCGCAAUGGGCGAAAGCCUGACGGAGCAACGCCGCGUGAGUGAUGAAGGUCUUCGGAUCGUAAAACUCUGUUAUUAGGGAAGAACAUAUGUGUAAGUAACUGUGCACAUCUUGACGGUACCGAAUCAGAAAGCCACGGCUAACUACGUG
rnacentral:rRNA from 1 species